rnacentral:rRNA from 1 species
CGUGGGGAGCAAACAGGAUUAGAUACCUGGUAGUCACGCUGUAAACGAUGUCGAUUUGGAGGUUGUUCCCUUGAGGAGUGGCUUCCGGAGCUAACGCGUUAAAUCGACCGCUGGGGAGUACGGCCGCAAGGUUAAAACUCAAAUGAAUUGACGGGGGCCCGCACAAGCGGUGGAGCAUGUGGUUUAAUUCGAUGCAACGCGAAGAACCUUACCUACUCUUGACAUCCAGAGAAUUUAGCAGAGAUGCUUUAGUGCCUUCGGGAACUCUGAGACAGGUGCUGCAUGGCUGUCGUCAGCUCGUGUUGUGAAAUGUUGGGUUAAGUCCCGCAACGAGCGCAACCCUUAUCCUUUGUUGCCAGCACAUUAUGGUGGGAACUCAAAGGAGACUGCCGGUGAUAAACCGGAGGAAGGUGGGGAUGACGUCAAGUCAUCAUGGCCCUUACGAGUAGGGCUACACACGUGCUACAAUGGCGUAUACAAAGAGAAGCGACCUCGCGAGAGCAAGCGGAACUCAUAAAGUACGUCGUAGUCCGGAUUGGAGUCUGCAACUCGACUCCAUGAAGUCGGAAUCGCUAGUAAUCGUAGAUCAGAAUGCUACGGUGAAUACGUUCCCGGGCCUUGUACACACCGCCCGUCACACCAUGGGAGUGGGUUGCAAAAGAAGUAGGUAGCUUAACCUUCGGGAGGGCGCUCACCACUUUGUGAUUCAUGACUGGGGUGAAGUCGUAACAAGGUAACCA